rnacentral:rRNA from 1 species
GACGAACGCUGGCGGCGUGCUUAACACAUGCAAGUCGAACGGUGAAGCGCCUUCCUUUUUGGUGGGUGUGGUUGAUUGGCGAACGGGUGAUUAACACGUGAGUAACCUGCCCCCUUCUUCUGGAUAACCUCAUGAAAGUGUGGCUAAUCCGGGUUAUUCUGGGUCUGUCCCAUGAUUGUUCUGGGAAAGAUAUUUUUUCGGUGGGGGUUGGGCUCGCGGCCUAUCAGCUUGUUGGUGGGGUGAGGGCCUACCAAGGCGGUGACGGGUAGCCGGCCUGAGAGGGUAGAGGGUCAGACUGGGAAGGAGACACGGUCCAGACUAGUAAGGGAGGGAGGGGGGGGGAAUAGUGGACAAUGGGCGGAAGGCUAACGCAGCGAAGCGGCGGGAGGGGAGGGAGGGUGCGGGUUGGGAACAUCUUUCGCCAGGGAAGCGGGCAAGCCUCGUUUGUGGGUGGGUUGACGGUAGCGGGAUAAGAAGCGCCGGCUAACUACGUG